rnacentral:rRNA from 1 species
UACGUAGGGAGCAAGCGUUGUCCGGAUUCACUGGGUGUAAAGGGUGCGUAGGCGGGAGAAUAAGUCAGCGGUGAAAUCUUACGGCUCAACCGUGAAACUGCCGUUGAUACUGUUUUUCUUGAGUUCGGGAGAGGUUGAUGGAAUUCCAGGUGUAGCGGUGAAAUGCGUAGAUAUCUGGAAGAACACCAGUGGCGAAGGCGGUCAACUGGCCCGAAACUGACGCUGAGGCACGAAAGCGUGGGGAGCAAACAGG